rnacentral:rRNA from 1 species
ACGGGAGGCAGCAGUGGGGGAUAUUGCACAAUGGAGGAAACUCUGAUGCAGCAAUGCCGCGUGAGGGAAGAAGGUCUUCGGAUUGUAAACCUAAGUAGACAGGGACGAUAAUGACGGUACCUGUAAAGUAAGCUCCGGCUAACUACGUGCCAGCAGCCGCGGUAAUACGUAGGGAGCGAGCGUUGUCCGGAAUUACUGGGUGUAAAGGGAGUGUAGGCGGGACUGUAAGUCAGAUGUGAAAUAUGCCGGCUCAACUGGCAGACUGCAUUUGAAACUGCGGUUCUUGAGUGAAGUAGAGGUAAGCGGAAUUCCUAGUGUAGCGGUGAAAUGCGUAGAUAUUAGGAGGAACAUCAGUGGCGAAGGCGGCUUACUGGGCUUUAACUGACGCUGAGGCUCGAAAGCGUGGGGAGCAAACAGGAUUAGAUACCCUGGUA